rnacentral:rRNA from 1 species
UGGGGAAUAUUGCGCAAUGGGGGGAACCCUGACGCAGCGACGCCGCGUGAGCGAAGAAGGCCUUCGGGUCGUAAAGCUCUGUCUUUGGGGAAGAAGAAAGUGACGGUACCCAAGGAGGAAGCCCCGGCUAACUACGUGCCAGCAGCCGCGGUAACACGUAGGGGGCGAGCGUUGUCCGGAAUUACUGGGCGUAAAGGGUGCGUAGGCGGCCUGAUAAGUCAAGUGUGAAAUACCCGGGCUCAACCUGGGUGGUGCACGUGAAACUGUCGGGCUUGAGUGCAGGAGAGGGAAGUGGAAUUCCUAGUGUAGCGGUGAAAUGCGUAGAUAUUAGGAGGAACACCAGUGGCGAAGGCGGCUUCCUGGACUGUAACUGACGCUGAGGCACGAAAGCGUGGGGAGCAAACAGG